rnacentral:rRNA from 20 species
GGGUUGUGAGGUUAAGCGACUAAGCGUACACGGUGGAUGCCCUGGCAGUCAGAGGCGAUGAAGGGCGUACUAAUCUGCGAUAAGCGCCGGUAAGGUGAUAUGAACCGUUAUAACCGGCGAUACCCGAAUGGGGAAACCCAGUGUGAUUCGUCACACUAUCAUUAACUGAAUCCAUAGGUUAAUGAGGCGAACCGGGGGAACUGAAACAUCUAAGUACCCCGAGGAAAAGAAAUCAACCGAGAUUCCCCCAGUAGCGGCGAGCGAACGGGGAGGAGCCCAGAGCCUGAAUCAGCAUGUGUGUUAGUGGAAGCGUCUGGAAAGGCGCGCGAUACAGGGUGACAGCCCCGUACACAAAAGCGCAUGUGCUGUGAGCUCGAUGAGUAGGGCGGGACACGUGGUAUCCUGUCUGAAUAUGGGGGGACCAUCCUCCAAGGCUAAAUACUCCUGACUGACCGAUAGUGAACCAGUACCGUGAGGGAAAGGCGAAAAGAACCCCGGCGAGGGGAGUGAAAAAGAACCUGAAACCGUGUACGUACAAGCAGUGGGAGCACAGGUUUACCUGUGUGACUGCGUACCUUUUGUAUAAUGGGUCAGCGACUUAUAUUCUGUAGCAAGGUUAACCGAAUAGGGGAGCCGGAGGGAAACCGAGUCUUAAUUGGGCGUUAAGUUGCAGGGUAUAGACCCGAAACCCGGUGAUCUAGCCAUGGGCAGGUUGAAGGUUGGGUAACACUAACUGGAGGACCGAACCGACUAAUGUUGAAAAAUUAGCGGAUGACCUGUGGCUGGGGGUGAAAGGCCAAUCAAACCGGGAGAUAGCUGGUUCUCCCCGAAAGCUAUUUAGGUAGCGCCUCGUGAAUUCAUCUCCGGGGGUAGAGCACUGUUUCGGCUAGGGGGCCAUCCCGGCUUACCAACCCGAUGCAAACUGCGAAUACCGGAGAAUGUUAUCACGGGAGACACACGGCGGGUGCUAACGUCCGUCGUGAAGAGGGAAACAACCCAGACCGCCAGCUAAGGUCCCAAAGUCAUGGUUAAGUGGGAAACGAUGUGGGAAGGCCCAGACAGCCAGGAUGUUGGCUUAGAAGCAGCCAUCAUUUAAAGAAAGCGUAAUAGCUCACUGGUCGAGUCGGCCUGCGCGGAAGAUGUAACGGGGCUAAACCAUGCACCGAAGCUGCGGCAGCGACGCUUAUGCGUUGUUGGGUAGGGGAGCGUUCUGUAAGCCUGCGAAGGUGGCCUGUGAGGGUUGCUGGAGGUAUCAGAAGUGCGAAUGCUGACAUAAGUAACGAUAAAGCGGGUGAAAAGCCCGCUCGCCGGAAGACCAAGGGUUCCUGUCCAACGUUAAUCGGGGCAGGGUGAGUCGACCCCUAAGGCGAGGCCGAAAGGCGUAGUCGAUGGGAAACGGGUUAAUAUUCCCGUACUUGGUGUUACUGCGAAGGGGGGACGGAGAAGGCUAUGUUGGCCGGGCGACGGUUGUCCCGGUUUAAGCGUGUAGGUGUGUGUUCCAGGUAAAUCCGGUUCACUUUAACACUGAGGCGUGACGACGAGGCACUACGGUGCUGAAGCAACAAAUGCCCUGCUUCCAGGAAAAGCCUCUAAGCAUCAGGUAACAUCAAAUCGUACCCCAAACCGACACAGGUGGUCAGGUAGAGAAUACCAAGGCGCUUGAGAGAACUCGGGUGAAGGAACUAGGCAAAAUGGUGCCGUAACUUCGGGAGAAGGCACGCUGACACGUAGGUGAAGUGAUUUACUCAUGGAGCUGAAGUCAGUCGAAGAUACCAGCUGGCUGCAACUGUUUAUUAAAAACACAGCACUGUGCAAACACGAAAGUGGACGUAUACGGUGUGACGCCUGCCCGGUGCCGGAAGGUUAAUUGAUGGGGUCAGCGCAAGCGAAGCUCCUGAUCGAAGCCCCGGUAAACGGCGGCCGUAACUAUAACGGUCCUAAGGUAGCGAAAUUCCUUGUCGGGUAAGUUCCGACCUGCACGAAUGGCGUAAUGAUGGCCAGGCUGUCUCCACCCGAGACUCAGUGAAAUUGAACUCGCUGUGAAGAUGCAGUGUACCCGCGGCAAGACGGAAAGACCCCGUGAACCUUUACUAUAGCUUGACACUGAACAUUGAGCCUUGAUGUGUAGGAUAGGUGGGAGGCUUUGAAGUGUGGACGCCAGUCUGCAUGGAGCCGACCUUGAAAUACCACCCUUUAAUGUUUGAUGUUCUAACGUGGACCCGUUACCCGGGUUGCGGACAGUGUCUGGUGGGUAGUUUGACUGGGGCGGUCUCCUCCUAAAGAGUAACGGAGGAGCACGAAGGUUGGCUAAUCCUGGUCGGACAUCAGGAGGUUAGUGCAAUGGCAUAAGCCAGCUUGACUGCGAGCGUGACGGCGCGAGCAGGUGCGAAAGCAGGUCAUAGUGAUCCGGUGGUUCUGAAUGGAAGGGCCAUCGCUCAACGGAUAAAAGGUACUCCGGGGAUAACAGGCUGAUACCGCCCAAGAGUUCAUAUCGACGGCGGUGUUUGGCACCUCGAUGUCGGCUCAUCACAUCCUGGGGCUGAAGUAGGUCCCAAGGGUAUGGCUGUUCGCCAUUUAAAGUGGUACGCGAGCUGGGUUUAGAACGUCGUGAGACAGUUCGGUCCCUAUCUGCCGUGGGCGCUGGAGAACUGAGGGGGGCUGCUCCUAGUACGAGAGGACCGGAGUGGACGCAUCACUGGUGUUCGGGUUGUCAUGCCAAUGGCACUGCCCGGUAGCUAAAUGCGGAAGAGAUAAGUGCUGAAAGCAUCUAAGCACGAAACUUGCCCCGAGAUGAGUUCUCCCUGAGACUUAAAGUCUCCUGAAGGAACGUUGAAGACGACGACGUUGAUAGGCCGGGUGUGUAAGCGCAGCGAUGCGUUGAGCUAACCGGUACUAAUGAACCGUGAGGCUUAACCUUACAACGCCGAAG